rnacentral:rRNA from 1 species
ACGGCUCAGUAACACGUGGAUAAUCUACCCUUAGGUAGGGUAUAACCUUGGGAAACUGAGGCUAAUCCCCUAUAGGUCCUGUAAACUGGAAUGUUUUAGGACUGAAAGCUACGGCGCCUGAGGAUGAGUCUGCGGCCUAUCAGGUAGUAGGUGGGGUAAAGGCCCACAUAGCCUAUGACGGGUACGGGCCCUGAGAGGGGUAGCCCGGAGAUGGGUUCUGAGACACGAACCCAGGCCCUACGGGGCGCAGCAGGCGCGAAACCUUCGCAAUGCGCGCAAGCGCGACGAGGGGAACUCGAGUGCUAUCAUCCUUUCGGGUGAUAGCUUUUCUCGAUCCUAAAAAGAUCGGGGAAUAAAAGCUGGGUAAGACGGGUGCCAGCCGCCGCGGUAAUACCCGCAGCUCAAGUGGUGGCCACUAUUAUUGAGCCUAAAGCGUCCGUAGCCGGUCUUGUAAAUCUCUGGGUAGAUCUCAUCGCUUAACGGUGAGAAGACUGGAGAGACUGCAAGACUAGGGAUCGGGUGAGGUAAGAGGUACUCCUGGGGUAGGGGUAAAAUCCUGUAAUCCUGGGGGGACGACCGGUGGCGAAGGCGUCUUACUAGAACGACUCCGACGGUGAGGGACGAAGGCUAGGGGAGCAAACCGGAUUAGAUACCCGGGUAGUCCUAGCUGUAAACGCUGCCCACUUGGUGUUGCCCUUUCGUAGGGAAGGGGCAGUGCCGGAGCGAAGGUGUUAAGUGGGCCGCUUGGGGAGUAUGGUCGCAAGGCUGAAACUUAAAGGAAUUGGCGGGGGAG